UAAGUGAAAUGAGUUUGAAAAGUUUUCCCGAAAGCGGCCAUCCAGCAGGCCUGACCCAAUUACCCAUUUAGGCCCAAAGACCAAAUCGGUCUGUGGUGGUGUGAGUGCCGAAGAAAUUACCAAAAGAACGCCAGAAGACGUCGAGAUGUGGAGAUGUGUGUGGGGAAGCAACGAGGGCACAAGACGAGUAACAGUUAUGUGACGGGCAGACAAUCGAAAGUUUAUGUCAUGCUGCCGGCAGCAACGCAGCAGCAGCAACGCAGCAGCAACACAGAAGCAACACCGCAGAAACAUCAGUAAAAGCCAUAAGAUAAAGCCAUAAUCCGACAGCAGAUGUUUUUUCGGUUUUGGUUUUGGUCUUUUUUAUUAUUAAGGAAUGAUAUUCAGAUACUUGUUUAAUGAUCGAAGAAUCUGAAAGUAACUGGAUUCAAGGCCUACAGCAGCAUGAACAAUGAGAGCAGCAACGCCGCAAGAAAAGAAAAAGUAACUUCACACCGACUCCACACCAGCUUACUCACACACUUGAAGCGUCCGUCCGUGGCUGACCAGUAAAUCGAAAAAGAUACGAGAAAAAAGAGAAACAGAAAA